rnacentral:rRNA from 1 species
UCUAACGUGAAAGGGAGCUUCGGCUCCUGAGUAAAGUGGCAAACGGGUGAGUAACGCGUGAAGAACCUGCCCGGAAGUGGGGGACAACACUCCUAACGGGGUGCUAAUACCGCAUACGCCUGCGGGGUCGCAUGAUCCUGCAGGCAAAGGUGGCCUCUGCUUGCAAGCUACCGCUUCCGGAUGGCUUUGCGUCCCAUUAGCUAGUUGGCGGGGUAACGGCCCACCAAGGCGACGAUGGGUAGCUGGUCUGAGAGGAUGGUCAGCCACACUGGGACUGAGAUACGGCCCAGACUCCUACGGGAGGCAGCAGUCGAGAGGCUUCCGCAAUGGGGGAAACCCUGACGGAGCGACGCCGCGUGGGGGAUGAAGGCUUUCGGGUUGUAAACCCCUUUCAGGUGGGAAGAAAAGCAGGCGGGUGAACAAUCCUCCUGCCUUGACGGUACCACCAGAAGAAGCUCCGGCCAACUCCGUGCCAGCAGCCGCGGUAACACGGGGGGAGCAAGCGUUGUUCGGAUUCAUUGGGCGUAAAGGGCGCGUAGGCGGCCGAGCAAGUCUGGCGUGAAAUGUACCGGUUCAACCGGGGCGCUGUGUCAGAAACUGCACGGCUUGAGGUCGAGGGAGGAAGGUGGAAUUCCUGGUGUAGCGGUGAAAUGCGUAGAUAUCAGGAGGAACACCCGUGGCGAAGGCGACCUUCUAUCUCGAUUCUGACGCUGAGGCGCGAAAGCCAGGGGAGCAAACGGGAUUAGAUACCCCGGUAGUCCUGGCUGUAAACGAUGGGCACUAGGUGUGGGAGGUAUCGACCCCUUCCGUGCCGCAGCUAACGCAUUAAGUGCCCCGCCUGGGGAGUACGGCCGCAAGGU